CCUACGGGAGGCAGCAGUGGGGGAUAUUGCACAAUGGGGGGAACCCUGAUGCAGCGACGCCGCGUGGGUGAAGAAGCGCCUCGGCGCGUAAAGCCCUGUCAGCAGGGAAGAAAAUGACGGUACCUGAAGAAGAAGCCCCGGCUAACUACGUGCCAGCAGCCGCGGUAAUACGUAGGGGGCAAGCGUUAUCCUGAUUUACUGGGUGGAAAGGGGGCGCAGACGGCGAUGCAAGCCAGGAGUGAAAGCCCGGGGCCCAACCCCGGGACUGCUCUUGGAACUGCGUGGCUGGAGUGCAGGAGGGGCAGGCGGAAGUCCUGGUGUAGCGGUGAAAUGCGUAGAUAUCAGGAGGAACACCGGUGGAGAAGGCGGCCUGCUGGACUGCAACUGACGUGGAGGCCCGAAAGCGUGGGGAGCAAACAGGAUUAGAUACCCUAGUAGUC
rnacentral:rRNA from 1 species